UAAGAUGUGGCCAGAACUUUAGUUUAAAAUGUUCAAAAAAUGAAUUAACACGAUCAAUGUGAAGGAGACGACGAGAUGAUGUCAUUAUCGAGAUCUCAAUCUGUUGUAUUUCAGAGUUAUUUACUGAAAUGAGCAUGCGCACCAGCCAGCCCAGACCUGUCCUGUGUUGUAAUACCACUUUGUGACACUAGACGCUGUGUGAGUCAGCGGCGCGUCAAGUCUGCUCUCAGUCCCACGAAGAAGAACGACUUCCGGCAUAGCUUGAAGUUAGCAUCACAGAAGCACAGGAGUGGCUGAACCUCCUAAAAGACGAUAUUCAUCUUCAUCCCGAAGAACCGCUCCCGACAAGAAACCACGUUAAACGGCAAAGAAAAGAAGCGACACGAGUAAAUCUCGAUGUGGUUUUCCACCGCUGGAGAAGCUCCUGAGAGUGAAGAGAUGCGGUUUGAUGCCGAGCUCGCAACUUUCCUGUUAGCCCGGACCUGAGCCAGUACAGAUGCAAUACCGCCUCCACCUGUCUCACCAACGGCAGAGAGUCCAGAGAGUGAGGAGGGUCUAGACCAGAAUUCCAGUCUAAUCUUCACCAAUGAUGGACCAGCACCUGCCUUUUCUUCUGCAUCUGGCCUCAUCAAUCAACAACCACAUUACAGCAACACCUUGAGAGGGAUGGCAGAAUCCACCUCGGGCAAGAAAUGCACAGCUCCCCUCUUCUGUUCAUCCACCUCCUCUGCCUGGACACAUGUACCAGGACCAGAGCUUACAGGAAGAGGAAGGCGGCCUGAAGAUGUUGUGGCGGAGCGGGAGCCGCUGCCUGGAGGAAAAACCCACCGGCAGCCAACGUCAUACAUCUGCAGCAAGUGUGGACAACCCAGAAGGAUUGACACUGACCUCACUGUGAUUGUUGGUGGAAAGACUGUGGAGGAGUGGAGGGAAGAGAUGAAGAGAAGACAGGACUACAUUUUAUAUCUUCAACUUUUAAUUUACACUGUUUAUUAUUCAUUAUCAUUAUUCGCCUGAUGUCUCAUGAUGAUCUCAGUCCAGUGUUCCCUCUCUUUUAGCUCUGUGUUUGGUCUCCACCAGCUCCUGAGGGAAAUCUGUCUCUUUAACUGCUAAAUGCUUCGCUAUGUUCAGCAGCUGCUCUCGGACUAACUGCUGAGGAGAUAGUGGACAGUAUAUAUUCUAUUAAAUUGUGUCUUACUCUAUUAUUAUUAUUAUUCAAAAAUCUCAUGCCGACAUGUCAGACUGGGAGGGUGGGGAGUCGCCUGUCAGGAGGACAGGGGAGGAGAUUGUAUAGGGGAGUUUACAAAAGAACUGGGUGUCUUUGUUAGAGACCAUGCUGCCACACCAGUAGGUUGCUGGAAACCAAUGUCCUUAGUUUGAUAUUAAUUAUUGUUUUUUCUUUCAAAUUAUGUUUACCUUCAAUGAAUCUUAAUUUAUGAGUUUAUUUGACCUGGAAAUUGUUAGUAAGGCAAAUUGUUGUAAUUUAUAAACCAGAAGUAGUAAAGUUGGAUCCUGCAUUUAAUCAUGUUCUUUGUUAACAGGAUAAGCAGAACCCUGGUUAAUGUUUGAGAUUCAUUGUUUUCCUUUGGAUGCAUUAAGAAUGUAAGAUGUUUUAGUUGCCAUUGAUUCAUUAUCUUUGUUGUAUGCAUGGCAAGGUAUUUACUUUUGUUUGUUGUACUGCAGGAACCAUCCAUCCAUCAGUUCCUUGCUGAAUUUCCUGAACAAAAUAAAUGGUUAAAUGGC